UAUGUGGAAAAAAAAAAAACAGGAAGAGUCUUGCAAAAUGACCUUAAGCGAUAAUGAGUUCCUUUACAAAUGAACCGUUGUUGAUGACGGACAGUGGAACAUUUUAAGUUCGUCUAAAAUAAGAAGCAUAAAUUAGGCACAGCUUUUCUGCACACACUGUCACCUGAUUAACACAUUCAUAAUGCUGGACGAGGGAGCUUCAAAGCAGCAUUCACACAAUCGGCAAAAGUACAUCGUGCCUUGUGUUAGCGAUCGUGUGAUCGUCAUGCUCACAUGUCAUCUGUGACACAGUGAAGGCAUGAAGGGUCACCUCAGACGGUAAAACAA